CUGAAAGCUUCCCCCAUGUCUGAGAGAGCCAAUGCCAGCCAGCUCCAAAGACAGCUGGCCAAGGUUGAGCCCAUCAGUGAUGCUGCUGAUUAGUGAUAGAGAAGCUUGGAGUGCACCUGGUGUCCAGCCAAGGUCAUCCCACCACACCAGGUUAAACUAUCUUGAAACUGGGUGUCCAGAACUAGUAAUGCAUAAAGUCUUUGUCUCUUAUUUUGUACUAUUUUUUUCCUUCCCUGUUUCAUUUUCAGUGUAUGUUAUCAAAGCCAGUAGGACAUACACAGAGAUGAAACACUCUGAUGAAUAAGAGCCAGACUGGAUAAGAAUGGUGACUUAUGCAAAAUUCUUUAUUUUGAAAUCUAAAUGUUAGAUCUAAUCUGAACUUGAUGGAAUUUCUGUACUCUUACUGAAGCACUCUCUUUUUUAAAUCCUUACUAUUCUGUACAGGCAUACGCAUCUCUUUACUGAAGACCAUGAAGAGGCCUAUCCAAACUGUCUUUAUAAACAAAAAACCACUGAAUCAGAAAGUCUGAUUUGUCUUUCUGCAUAAUGUUCCCUCUAAAAAGGCAGACAUGAAGCUACAGUAUUUUAGGGACAGAAGUAGAAAAGCAUUUAAAAAUCCUAAAGGAGAAUCUUAGGAGAGAGGGGACAAUAGAAAUGGGAAACAAUGAGGCAGUGGAAAAGCAAGGAAAAAUUCAUGAAAGUGGAACUAGAGGUUGUUUCUAUGAGAAAAUAUGUAAAGCCAUGAAAACUGCAGGAGUGAAGAAAGAUUCAGGCACAUUCAGGUUCUCACAGCUCCAAGGUUCCAGCUUACUAGCAGCAAUAGAAAAGCUCUCUGAAAAACAUGCUGGCUUUGAAUAAUUACUUUGUGUCAGACCACUUGUGGAACAAAUCCAGGUACUGUUUAAGUCAAAUUCACAUUUCACCACUGUUACGCAAACACAGUGGAGUAUGUUU